AUAACUCGAUAAUCCACGCAUACCCAACCUUCUCUAGAUACUUCAGCAUGUGUACUGCCGUUGUAAGCAUACCUUUAAAAGAACAAGUAUGCUACUAUGAUUAACUAAUUAACUCAUAUACAUCAAGUCAAAGUGCAGCUAAUAAGAAGGUGAUGAUGGGUUACAACCCCAAAAUAGACUAUCAACUAAGAAAUAAAAAAUCUUACGAAAGUGGACUUGGCCGUAAUCAAUUUACAAGUUAAAGGAAUGAAUAAAAAUCUAAGACAUGUACACAUCGCCCGUCACUCUAUCCUAAAGGUUAGAUAAGUCGUAACAAAGUAGGUGUAAUGGAAAUUGCACCUGUCGAAGUAUAGCAUAUAUAAUGCUUUUUACUUACACUAAAAAUAAAGUUAAAUAACUUGCUUCGCCCAAGAAAAAUAAUCUUAUUAAAUAUAAAAUAAUAAAAACCCCUAACCAAAAUUUAAUUAAUACUAAAGUACAGAACUGGAAAAAAAAACUAAAUAAAAGUAAUUCUUAACAACUGUACCUUGUGCAUUAUGGUUUUACAAGAAAAUUAUUAAAAACACCAAUCCCGAAUUCUAAUUGAGAUGUUAAACUGCUGUUAUGAACCCACUAAUAGCUGUAGAAAAAGCUUUAAAAGACAGUUUAACAGAGGCUACAUACCAUCCGCAUAAGAAUAUAGCUGGUUUUCAACAAAAAUUAUACAUUAAAACAUAUAAUUAUAUUAUAGUGUAAUAUUAUUGAGGAUAAGCCCAAUAAUUUAAGCAAUAAAUAUACCUAUCCAUUUUAUCCAAUAGACCUAAAAUCAGCCAACUAAAAUACUUUACCGUAAUAAAUAAUGAUAAAAUACAUAACAUUAGCAUGCAUAAAAAAGUUGAAAUAAUGGAUUAAUUAUAUAUUUCAUUUCUACUAUGUAAAAAUAAGUAUUAUAAAUCUAUAAUAAUAAAAAUCUAGUAAUAGACAACAUUUAAACAACCAUAAUUAAUUAAGGAACUCGGCAAACCAUUAUUUCGACUGUUUAACAAAAACAUUGUCUCAUGAAUAAAAUAUGAGAUAAU
rnacentral:rRNA from 1 species